GAUGAACGCUGGCGGCGUGCUUAACACAUGCAAGUCGAACGAUGAAGCCCAGCUUUCUGGGUGGAUUAGUGGCGAACGGGUGAGUAACACGCGAGUAACUUGCCCUUAUCUCUGGGAUAAGUCUGGGAAACAGGGCCUAAUUCCUGAUGGGAACGUCCAUCGCCUGGAGGGUGCUGGAGAGAUUGAUCGGUUUUGGGUCGACUCGCGGCCUAUCCGCUUGUCGGUGAGGUAAUGGCUAACCAAGGCGACGACGGGUAGCCGGCCUGGGAGGGUGACCGGACACAAUGGGACUGAGACACGGCCCAGACUGCUACGGGAGGCAGCAGUGGGGAAUAUUGCACAAUGGGCGCAAGCCUGAUGCAGCGACGCCGCGUGAGGGAUGACGGCCUUCGGGUUAUAAACAUCUUUCAGUAGGGAAGAAGCGAAAGUGACGGUACCUGCAGAAGAAGCACCGGCUAACUACGUG
rnacentral:rRNA from 1 species